rnacentral:rRNA from 1 species
UCUUUAUAAGUAAUUUGAAUUUAUUUGAUUUAUAGAGAUAAAAAUUAAGUUUAAUUAUCUUAUUUUAUUGGGGCGAUAUGAGUAUAAAUUUUAUUAACUGCUUAGUGAAAAUUCUAUUAUAAAAGAGUUAUUAUUACAUGAUCCUUUUUGAAGAUUAAAAGACUAAGUU